GAUGAACGCUGGCGGCGUGCCUAAUACAUGCAAGUCGAGCGAACGGACGAGAAGCUUGCUUCUCUGAUGUUAGCGGCGGACGGGUGAGUAACACGUGGACAACCUACCUAUAUGACUGGGAUAACUUCGGGAAACCGGAGCUAAUACCGGAUAAUAUUUUGAACCGCAUGGUUCAAAAGUGAAAGACGGUCUUGCUGUCACUUAUAGAUGGAUCCGCGCUGCAUUAGCUAGUUGGUAAGGUAACGGCUUACCAAGGCAACGAUGCAUAGCCGACCUGAGAGGGGGAAGGGCCACACUGGAACUGAGACACGGUCCUGACUCCUACGGGAGGCAGCAGUAGGGAAUCUUCCGCGAUGGGCGGAAGCCUGACGGAGCAACGCCGCGUGAGUGAUGAAGGGCUUCGGAUCGUAAAACUCUGUUAUUAGGGAAGAACAUAUGUGUAAGUAACUGUGCACAUCUUGACGGUACCUAAUCAGAAAGCCACGGCUAACUACGUG
rnacentral:rRNA from 1 species